AUUGAACGCUGGCGGCAGGCCUAACACAUGCAAGUCGAGCGCGCGGCGGACGGGUGAGUAAUUUAUGGGGAUCUGCCUGAUGGAGGGGGCUAACUACUGGAAACGGUAGCUAAUACCGCAUACCCUCAGAUGAACCCCUAUGGGAUUAGCUGGUAGGGGGGGUAACGGCUCACCUAGGCGACGAGCCCUAGCUGGUCGGAGAGGAUGAUCAGCCACACGGGUACUGAGACACGGCCCAGACCCCUACGUGAGUCAGCAGGGGGUAAUAUUGCACAAUGGGCGCAAGUCGGAUGCAGCCAUGCCGCGUGUAUGAAGAAGGCCUGCGGGUUGUAAAGUACUGUCAGCAGGGAGGCGUUACCGGCAGAAGAAGCACCGGCUAACUCCGUGCCAGCAGCCGCGGUAAUAC
rnacentral:rRNA from 1 species